rnacentral:misc_RNA from 1 species
AAAGAUCGCAGCCUCCGGCAGCUCCUGCAGGGAUUUGUAUGUCCUUGUAAGGGCUGCCGGAGGCUGCGAUCUUU